rnacentral:lncRNA from 1 species
CUUCUCAGUCUGUGGAAACUAGUGAGGACACAUCUAAGAAGCUACAGAACAAGAUGGAAAGCCUGCAAAACCAGGUGGAAACGUUACAGAGAAAAAGCCAAGCUAUGUCAUCAAUGAUCAGAAUUCAGGAAAUGAAGAUAGAGAAAGCAAAGGAAAAGGAGAAGUUGUCAAAAUGAAGACUUAUGUGCAUUAAUGAUUAUUUUCACUUCAGUAAGCUCCAAUUCAUGUGGAUGUCCCAGAGCUACCGAGUAUUACCAGUUCAAGCAGGAAACCUGGAUGUGGCUCCUGUUAACGCUGAGAUAUCAAAAUGUUUUGAAGCACAUGCCUACAACUGCAAGACUGAACAGAUUUCAUCCUAUACCAUAAUUCCUUCAAGCAAAACGGACUCAUCAAAUGGUAUUUUUGUUGUAAUUUUCAUUACAUGUUAUCAUCCUUGGUUUGUAGUACAAAAUCUGCCCUGGGCUUAAGUUUGUAAGCAUAGCACUCAUAUUUUGACUCAGAGCAGUGUAUGUUCCUGGAUUGUUUGGGACUUUUUAUCCUUCCUCCAUCCGUGUCCCUCUUAUAAAAACUGAAAUAGGUGAGGUUUAGGUGAGAAAAAAUGCAUUAUGAAACUACAC